GGGCGAGUGGCGAAAUUGGUAGACGCACCACACUCAAAAUGUGGCGGGGAAACUCGUGUCGGUUCGAGUCCGACCUUGCCCA
rnacentral:tRNA from 1 species